rnacentral:tRNA from 1 species
GCACUGGGUUCAGUGGUAGAAUUCUCACCUUCCGUGUGAGAGACCAGGUUCAAAUCCCAACCAGUGUA